CGGAGGUGCUGACCCGCAGCGAGGCAGAGAUGACUAAGUUACAUAUGGAAGAUGGCGACGACAACAGCAUGUCGUAGAAGGAGAUAACAGGUGGAGCCAACGAUCCGCUAAGACUCACGUAUCUACAACUCCAUCCCCGAGCGGCAGUCAAAAGGAGGCGUGAAUGCAAGAUGCCAGCGGAAUGAUCGGCCGGACAGAGGCUAGGGCUGCUUCCUUCCCACCGCGUCCUUCCUUGUGUGUCGGAGAUAUAAAGCGAGUGCACCGGAAAAGAACGGGAACUGGGUCGAUCUAUUCUAUGGCGAAGCAUCCGAAGCAUAACUGCACACUCACACGAUCUUUGCCGAGAGAUAGGAGCAUUCGGUGGAACCGGUGAACUACACUUGCUUCUGGAUAGAUGUGUGGGACAGAGGGCUCGUGGUACCUGCUGCCCACCCUUCCUCCUCUGCUUUGAGAACCGUGUGAACGGAGAGUGGGCAGAAGGGAAGGAGGUCCUCAUACGGAGUCGCACACUGACUUGAGCAGUGCGGAAGACUGGGGAAUGGGUUGAGUAAACUCCCCUGGGGCCGGAAAAAUAACAGACGAAGCUUUACUUAGAUAGGGCUUUGAUUGGUCUUUUUUUUUUUCUUAGUGAUUGGAAAGGAGGGCGCCUGGGUAUUUUACAAAAAGGGAAGGCAGAGGUAGUACUUCGAAUGGCGAAACGAAGGGCUAAAUAGCGCCAGUGAUUCUCUGAGCCGGUCUGGAUUUUCAACGCCUCGGGAAACUGGUCGAGAUAGAUGACAGCACCCUUUUCCUCUCUUCUAUUUCCGUGCCGGGAGGGCAAUCUUAUCUUAUGGCCUUUCCCCCCCGGCACGGAAAUAGAAGCCAGCCCCCCCUUCUGAUCCAUAAAUUUCUGCAAGCAGGGGGGAUCCAGAGCUAAGCCUCCCGUCUAUUGCAUAACCUAAAAAAGCUAUAAGCAAAGUACCAAAGGUGCGCUCCUUUCCAAACGGAUCCGGUGACUCAGAAAGAAAUUGGUUUGCGCUUUGAAGUGAUGAGGUCUUUAUUGAAGAGGGAAGUAGGGCUCCUAUUGAAAGGCUUUCCCUCCCUCAAAAGGCGACCAGCUUUCAAUACUAGUUGUUACGUUACGCUGCCAUUUUUCCAAUAUAUAUCAUUGAAUAGCAUGGCCUGCCUGGGGCUAAGGUAACUCAAGUGGGAGAGCCGUGUUAUGGGUGACCUUAUUGCACGGUUCAGAGAGCACUUGUGUAUGUGAUGCAAGUGAACGUGUACGAAAAAGCUGUAUCUAGGGUGAGUUCUUCGUUCCGUCGUCGACCC